rnacentral:rRNA from 1 species
GUCGAGAAUCUUUCACAAUGGGGGCAACCCUGAUGGAGCGACGCCGCGUGGAGGAUAAGGUCUUCGGAUUGUAAACUCCUGUCAUGCGUGAACAAGGUUGCUUGGUUAAUACCUGGGCAAAUUGAUGGUAACGCAAGAGGAAGAGACGGCUAACUCUGUGCCAGCAGCCGCGGUAAUACAGAGGUCUCAAGCGUUGUUCGGAAUCACUGGGCGUAAAGGGUGCGUAGGUGGCGUGGUAAGUCAGAUGUGAAAGACCGGGGCACAACAGCGGAAGUGCAACCUAUACUGCCAUGGUAGAGUACUGGAGAGGUGACUAGAAUUCUCGGUGUAGCAGUGAAAUGCGUAGAUAUCGAGAGGAAUACCAAAGGCGUAGGCAGGUCACUGGACAGUUACUGACACUGAGGCACGAAGGCCAGGGGAGCGAACGGGAUUAGAUACCCUGGUAGUCC